rnacentral:rRNA from 1 species
UACGGGGGGGGCAAGCGUUGUUCGGAAUUAUUGGGCGUAAAGCGCGUGUAGGCGGUGGUGCAUGUCGGGUGUGAAAGCCCUCAGCUUAACUGAGGAAGUGCGCCCGAAACUGCAUCGCUAGAGUGCCGGAGAGGGUGGCGGAAUUCCCGGUGUAGAGGUGAAAUUCGUAGAUAUCGGGAGGAACACCAGUGGCGAAGGCGGGAUUGGCUGGGCUGACACUGACGCUGAGGCGCGAAAGCUAGGGGAGCGAACGGG